GUUGAACGCUGACAGAAUGCUUAACACAUGCAAGUCAACCUGUCGCGGACGGGCGAGUAAGGCGUAAAUAACUGGCCUCUCACCUAGGGACAACAUUUGGAAACUAAUGCUAAUACCUAAUACUGUGAGAGAGCUUUGCGUCCCAUUAGCUAGAUGGUGAGGUAACGGCUCACCAAGGCGAUGAUGGGUAGCCGGACUGAGAGGGUGAUCGGGGACAAAGGGACUGAGACACGGGCAUUACUCAAUCGGGAGGAAGCGGUGAGGAAUAGAGGAAGAUGGGCCAAAGUGUGAUGAAGCACUUCUGGGUGCACGAUAAAGUUUUCAGGAUGUAAGGUGGAUUCAGUUGAGGAGCGGUACCAACAGAAGAAGUAACGGCUAAAUACGUGCCAGCAGCCGCGGUAAUUC
rnacentral:rRNA from 1 species